CUACUUUUUUGCUGUCAUUAUUUAUCCUUGUUCUAUAGGUAUAAAUAAAUUAUUGUAAUACGUAAUAAUUAGAUCGAAAUUGCAAUUUUUCGUUUUUAUUUUUAUCUUCAUAAAAUUUUAUUUAAAAAUUUGAAUUUCAUAUUAAUAAUUCAAUUCAAUAUUAACAAUAUUAAUAAUAAAUUUAAUAAUAAACUAAUAAUAAAUUAAAGUACAUAUUUAUUUUUCACUCGUAACUUCUUCAUAUCAUUUGACUAACCCUAAUUCUUCAUCUUCAUUUGAAAUAUUUGAAGUAGUUUGAAAAGAUUACGAAAAAUUAAGGCUGGAAAAUUCUAUUUAAGUUUUAUUUUAUAUAUAAUAAUUUUUUUAUUAAUCGACCGUUUUCUAAAAGAAAAGAAAUAAGAACUGGUGAAUCAGAAACAAUUAAUUAAGAUAAUUUUUAUUUAUUUUAUAUGGAAUAUACAUAUCAAUAUUCAUGGAUCAUACCGUUCAUUCCACUUCCAGUUCCUAUGUUAAUAGGAGCAGGGCUUCUACUUUUUCCAACGGCAACUAAAAAUACUUCGCCGUAUGUGGGCUUUUCCGAGUGUUUUAUUAUUAAGUAUAGUUUGUCUUUUUCUAGCCCAUUUCUUUAUUCAGCAACUAAAUAACAAUUCUGGCUAUCAAUAUGUAUGGUCUUGGUACCAUCAAUAAUGAUUUUUCUUUAGAGUUCGGCUCCUUGGUUGAUCCACUUACUUCUAUUAUGUCAAUAUUAAUCACUAGUGUUGGGGUUAUUGUUCUUAUUUAUAGUGACAAUUAUAUGUCUCAUGAUCGGGGAUAUGUGAGAUUUUUUGCUUAUAUGAGUUUUUUCAAUACUUCAAUGUUGGGAUUAGUUACUAGUUCUAAUUUAAUACAAAUUUAUAUUUUUUGGGGAAUUGGUUGGAAUGUGUUCUUAUCUAUUAAUAGGUUUUUGGUUCACCCGACCCAGCGCGGCAAAUGCUUGUCAAAAAGCGUUUGUAACUAAUCGUGUCGGG